GUAGGUGUUUUUUUCUCCUCCUUGGCUGACCUGUCCAGGAGAGACAGAAGUAGUGCAGCAGUGUUUCCUGUAGCAAGCUAAAGCUUCUGUGAUCUCAAUCUGCAGCUCCUCACGAAGACACUGCAGAGUAGAAAGUCAGCAGCGUCUCGGCCUGGCUGGUCCGGAAUGUGUCCAUCAGGCUCUGAGAGCAGGCCAGAGUGACACUGUGUACCCGCGUCCUCCUCUCUCCUCUGGAUCCACUGUAGGAUAGGACGGCCUACAAGAACACACAGCAAACACACCAGGGAUGUAACCAAAUAUGAAUAUGCUAUUCAGAAUGAACAGAUGUGUGUGUUCUAAACAGAGACAAACACAGAUACGAAUAGAUGGAGCACUAUUCAUUUCAUUUAUUUAUUUAGUUUUUAGAAAGCUUGCAGAAAGGUUCGCAAAGCAUCUGGUUUGAACGAGAGGUAUGCAUCAGGACUGGGCUGCUACAGGCGCAAACAAAAAAAAUAUUUGACAGGAAGAGCUGUCAUGUCACUCCUGUUCUCACCUGUAUGGCCACACCUCUUGUUUCAUCAAGUGAUUUGCUGUGAGUGAACUCAAAUGCCAGGGCUGUGUGCCAAUCAAGCGCUGCCAUGGCAACAC